rnacentral:piRNA from 1 species
AUAUAGUAGGAUGAUAGAAAU